GACAGAGGGGGCAAGCGUUGCUCGGAAUCACUGGGCGUAAAGGGCGCGUAGGCGGCCUGCUAAGUCGAACGUGAAAUCCCCGAGCUCAACUCGGGAACUGCGUCCGAUACUGGCAGGCUUGAAUCCGGGAGAGGGAUGCGGAAUUCCAGGUGUAGCGGUGAAAUGCGUAGAUAUCUGGAGGAACACCGGUGGCGAAGGCGGCAUCCUGGACCGGCAUUGACGCUGAGGCGCGAAAGCCAGGGGAGCAAACGGG
rnacentral:rRNA from 1 species